UGUAAAAGAGAAACGUGAUUUAGCACUGCCUGGCGGACAAAAAUAUGUAGUCUAGUUCUUACUCAUACAUUCUUGUUACUACGUGGCCACAAUUUACUUCCGCCAUUUUAAAGUUGUCAUGUCUUCACGUCCUGCUUAGACUCGUAUUAUUAAUCAAUCCUAAAAUUAUAAAUAUAACAAUAUUUGGUUACAAUUAAUAUCUAGACUAUGUUAAUAUUUAUUGUUGAUUUUAUUUAAAUAUAAAAAUGGAUAUUGUCAGUGUUGAGUUUGUUAAAAAGAUGUUGAUCAAUUUACUUGACAAAAAUUGGAGUAAUGACAAUGAACUUUUGAGUUAUACUAGAGCUUUGUUAUCUCAGGUAAAUUAUAUGAAUUGAUAUGAAUCAAUGUUAAUUUUAACUCACUCAAUAUUAAUUAUAAUUAAUAAUUUUUAGAUGCUUAAUUAUGAUGAUAAUCAAGAUGCUGAUAACUCAUCAAAAACAAUACUUGAAAUCAAGACUAAAAAGAAUGACAUCAGCAGUAAAUCAUUGGUAAUGUUCAUCUAUUUAAUUGAGGCAAGAUUUGAAUUUUUUUUUUCAUUGAAUAUAAGUAAUAAUUAAAUUAAUAUGAUUUUAAUUUUUAUAGGUUUUUGUAGUCAUGUGAAAAUAAAAUUUGUGAUUCAAUAAAUUGCCAAGUUUGGUUGUAAUAAUCAACGAGUAAUUGUUUAAUAUGUCAGAGUUUAAAAACAACUAUAGUAAUGAUUGUCAUUGAGUGUAGUUCAGUAUUUAAGUUAAAAAUAAAAUGUAAAUUUCCAACUGUUUCAAUCGCGAGUAAAUGUGUCGAUCAAUUGAUGACACAAUAAGUGCAAAUAA